GACGGAGGGUGCAAGCGUUAUUCGGAAUCAUUGGGCGUAAAGAGCGUGUAGGCGGCCGGGCAAGUCAGAGGUGAAAGCCCAGGGCUCAACCCUGGAAGUGCCUUUGAAACUGCUUGGCUUGAGUUCGGGAGAGGGAAGUGGAAUUCCUGGUGUAGAGGUGAAAUUCGUAGAUAUCAGGAGGAACACCGGUGGCGAAGGCGACUUCCUGGACCGAAACUGACGCUGAGACGCGAAAGCGUGGGGAGCAAACAGG
rnacentral:rRNA from 1 species